GUAGAGUAUUUGAGUUUUCAUCCGAAUUUUUUUGAGGAUUAUAUUUGUUUCUUUCGUUAAUUACUCAAUUUUAUCUGUCAUACAACUGGUUAUGAGAAUCUGUACAUAAAUGUUAAUGAAGUUAAUUGGUACAUAUUUCCUCGUCAUUGUGUUUCCAAAACUAAAUUCGGAACAAGUACCUGUCUAGUACUAGCUAUGCUGCAUUAGAGGUUGCAACUUCUUGCAAUACGACCUGCUAUGGUACUGGAGUUCUGGAAGCCACUAUAACUCCAGCACAAACCUGCUUUUUGCAAAAGAAAAGAACAGCUUAUCAGACAAGAAAAUAUAACAGGAAGCAGUCAUUUGUGAGGGUAUCAAUCGGUAUGACUUCUAUACAUAUAUGAGAAACUGAGACACAUAGAUUACAUGACAAAUAAAAUAUUAAAAGAUGAAAGAACGAAGGACAAUGUUUCUGAAGCAACAUUUGUUUAUGCAAAUCCAGAUAGUUCUCAAUCUAAUACUAUUAACACCAGGUAAACAGCAGGUCCUACUGAGUUUACGGUCUUUCUCCCCUCUUUUCUAAUCUCCAAAAUAGUUCUAAGCAAACCACCACCAACUAGAGGAAGUGCUAUAAGAUGUUUCCGUACCAUCGAUUGACAUCAACCAUACAAUUGACAGAUAGUGAAAGAAAGCAUAUUCCAACUUACUGCAAACACCAGUCACCUAAGUUAAAGCCGCACCUCUAAUACAGUGAAUGAAGAGCUGCAACAUUCUUCAAGGAUUUAAGGAUCCUAUGGUUGUGCUUUACCAGAUGGUACAUACAAAUAAUGGAUCAAAGCAGAGUUCUGCAUUGCACUUUCUUAACCUUUCAACUUGAUUCACCGAACUACCUCACGAUUCUCCGUCAGUAGAUGCUGAGAUAACAAACUGAUAAGAUAUUCGACGAUUAAUAUGCAUCUUUAUGUUAAGAAAAUAAGACAAUGCGCUAAAAUUCACUAUGACAACUCGAAAAAGAACCUCGUGAGCUAUUAUGGGUCAGUAGUUCACUCUAAAACUUGUAUAAUCCGGAAUCUCAACAUCAGUGCAUACUAAAUGUAUCUAGCUUAUACCGAAUGCAAAUCAACCAAAACCUUUUUGAUAAUCUGGAUCGAAGAUUAUCAUCAAUCAACAGAAACAGAGGGCCUGAUUACUCAUCAAAGUUGUGGAAAACUGAUACUUUUUUUUUUGACAAAUGGAAAACUGAUACACACAACACUACAUAAGGACAUAACCACUUUUCAAUCCAGAAGACCAAUUAAUCGAAUCAAGAACAGUAUGAACAUCCUUGCGAUUAUAAGGUCCCCCCGUAUAUACACGCAUAACACUAAGAUAUCAAGAAAAGAACUCCAUAAAUUACCUCAAAUAAAGAAUAUAUGCUGCUACCCAGAGCUCCGUAGCAAUUCACUAACGGCUUUCUGCAAACUGAAGCUCGAACCGAACUAAAAGGUGCUCCGACAAUGAUGAGAACGUGACCGGAUUUGAACGACGGCGAGUAGUUUGUCGGAGUUCAGUAACUUGAGACUUAGUCCGUUAGUCGACUGUAGUAUGAAGUUUCUUAAUGGAUAUUUUUUGGGCCUUUCUAAAAAUUGCCUCCUUC
rnacentral:lncRNA from 1 species